GCGGGUCCAGGAGGUUUGCUUGAGGAGAAGUUCCUUGAGUUGGCCUCCUUCCUCGGGAUUACUUCUGAGUGCCCUCUUUCCUUGGGCCCGUUGUCCUCAGCACCCAUUUUGCCCCUUGGUGGGAGUGAAGAGACUCAGCCAGUCCAUCCUCGAGUCUCUGGGCCUCCUGUCAGCCUUAAGAAUCCUCCAGAUUUGUUUCCACAGACACUUUGCAGCAUCUACUCAGUGCUAAGCAUCAAGGGUGAAAACAGUUAAGGAGCACUUACUCCAUUUUUCAGGGGAAGGAACUUGGCACUGACAGUGGGUGGGACUUGCCCGAGGUCUCAACAGAUCCAGCACUCUUGUCCUUUCGGUGCUCAGUCUGGUCCAAGCCCUUCAACCAGUAGCAGCUCUCCCCACCCCCACCCAGAGAAGCCACGACGACAUUUUAGGGUGACUGCAGAGAAGCGGCGUCUUACUUGCAUUCUAUGGAAGAGACAGAUGGUUUGGCGAUAGGGUCACACAGGAGUGGAACUUGUCCGUGAGAAGUACCUGUAGGAAUAAAAAUCCAUUGCCUCUUAUUUCCUUAGGGCCCGUUUUAAAGACACACAGAAGCUUCAUUUAUUUACUUUUGGAGUUCGCCUUUGCGACAUCACGAGCAUGUGGAGGGAGGCAGGAGGUCCUACCUGAAUUUAUGGCUAUGAGGCCUCGAUGUGCAACAGUCAGGUCUGGAACCCACGGCGUCUGGCCUGUUGCAAGAGUCUAAGAAUGGAUAUUUUAAUGCUAAUUUCAGGCCUGCCUUCUGUCCUUGCCCGGAAUUUACUGGAGGAAACUAAGAGAGUUUAGGUGACUUGCUCAAGGUCACAUCGCACGGCCAAGACAGGGUAGAGGCAGGAUUUGCACCCAGGUCUGUUUGUAGGACUGGAACUUAACUCCAGGUGCUUCGAAAUCAGCUGCUGACUUCUGCCCUGGGUGGUUCUGAGUCCAGUCCUGAGGCUCGAUACGCAGUGAACAUGACCUUGAUGUGAUGCACACCCGCCACUUUCCUGCCAACGGCUCUGACACCAGUGCCUGCAGGAGUCACAAAGAAGCAAAUAUCUGUUCCAGCUUCAGCUCAUCAGUCACAGCCAGUCUCGGGGCUGGUGGCCCACAACAUGCUUCUGGGAGGACAUGAGAGAAGGAGAAGGGACAGCGUGUUCUCCAAUGCUAUGCGUAUUCUCCGAAGACGAGGCUACCCCAAGGUAACGACAUCAGACAACAUUUACUGCCGUGAAACCACAAGCUGACUUCUCACCUGUAAUACCAGACACCGAAUUAAUCUAUUCUAUUCCCCACCCCAUAUCUUAUAUCUCUGAAAUCUGCACGUAUGUUAGAUUUGACAAAAUCUGGGUAUUUUACUCCUUGGACCCGUUACCAUUUACAAAGCACCUCACACAAGAUACUCCAUCAUUCCACA